rnacentral:rRNA from 1 species
AGAGUUUGAUCCUGGCUCAGAAUGAACGCUGGCGGCGUGCUUAACACAUGCAAGUCGCACGAGAACGUUUCAGCUUGCUGAAACUAGUAAAGUGGCGCACGGGUGAGUAACGCGUGGGUAAUCUACCUCCGAAUUGGGGAUAACAUUGCGAAAGCGAUGCUAAUACCGAAUAAUAUCUCAAGAACUUCGGCUUUUGAGAUCAAAGGUGGCCUCUCCAUGGAAGCUACUGUUAGGAGAUGAGCCCGCGUACCAUUAGCUUGUUGGUAGGGUAAUGGCCUACCAAAGGCAAACGAUGGUUAGCUGGUCUGAGAGGAUGAUCAGCCACACUGGAGCGGACACACGGGCCGGACGCCUACGGGGGGCAGCGGUGGGGAGUUUUGCGCAAUGGGGGAAACCCUGACGCAGCAACGCCGCGUGAGUGAUGAAGGCUUUCGGGUCGUAAAGCUCUGUCAAGUGGGAAGAGCCUGCCCUUUGCUAAUAUCAUAGGGCACUGACGGUACCACUGAAGGAAGCACCGGCUAACUCCGUGCCAGCAGCCGCGGUAACACGGGGGGUGCAAGCGUUAUUCGGAAUUACUGGGCGUAAAGAGCGCGUAGGCGGUUUCUAAAGUCAGAUGUGAAAGCCCGGGGCUCAACCCCGGAAGUGCAUUUGAAACUUAGGGACUUGAGUAUGGGAGAGGGAAGUGGAAUUCCUGGUGUAGCGGUGAAAUGCGUAGAUAUCAGGAGGAACACCGGUGGCGAAGGCGACUUCCUGGACCAAUACUGACGCUGAGGCGCGAAGGCGUGGGGAGCAAACCGCGUAUGUAAGUCGGGUCAACGUAAGUAUACUGUGGUUACAACACAGUAUUUUAUAGUUUAAUU